rnacentral:rRNA from 1 species
UACCCUCCUAUUCAUCUGAAGUCCCCUAUACGUUGUUUGGUCUGCGGUCUCGGGGUUUACCCCCCGGGCGCCCCUGGGCCCCACCGCGGGCGCCCGCCGGAGGUCACCAAACUCUUGAUAAUUUAUGGCCUCUCUGAGUCUUCUGUACUGAAUACUGUCAAAACUUUCAACAACGGAUCUCUUGGUUCUGGCAUCGAUGAAGAACGCAGCGAAAUGCGAUAAGUAAUGUGAAUUGCAGAAUUCAGUGAAUCAUCGAAUCUUUGAACGCACAUUGCGCCCGCCAGCAUUCUGGCGGGCAUGCCUGUUCGAGCGUCAUUUCAACCAUCAAGCCCCCGGGCUUGUGUUGGGGACCUGCGGCUGCCGCAGGCCCUGAAAAGCAGUGGCGGGCUCGCUGUCGCACCGAGCGUAGUAGCAUACAUCUCGCUCUGGUCGCGCCGCGGGUUCCGGCCGUUAAACCACCUUUUAACCCAAGGUGGACCUCGGAUCAGGUAGGAAGACCCGCUGACUAGUCCCUUCC